ACGAACGCUGGCGGCAUGCCUAACACAUGCAGGUCGAACGAGACCUUCGGGUCUAGUGGCGCACGGGUGCGUAACGCGUGGGAACCUGCCCUUAGGUUCGGAAUAACUCCCCGAAAGGGGUGCUAAUACCGGAUAAUGUCUUCGGACCAAAGAUUUAUCGCCUUUGGAUGGGCCCGCGUUGGAUUAGCUAGCUGGUAGGGUAAAAGCCUACCAAGGCGACGAUCCAUAGCUGGUCUGAGAGGAUGAUCAGCCACACUGGGACUGAGACACGGCCCAGACUCCUACGGGAGGCAGCAGUGGGGAAUAUUGGACAAUGGGCGAAAGCCUGAUCCAGCAAUGCCGCGUGAGUGAUGAAGGCCUUAGGGUUGCAAAGCUCUUUUACCCGGGAUGAUAAUGACAGUACCGGGAGAAUAAGCUCCGGCUAACUCCGUG
rnacentral:rRNA from 1 species